UACAGCUGUCAAAUUACCGCUAUGUCCCAUAAUUGUAUUGAGCGUUUGACAGAACGUGGGUUAAAUGUCAUAAACUGGAUUAAACCUAAGGAGUUAAAAAUAGGUCAUCCAUACGAAAUAAUUAACUGCUACCAAAAGCCUUCGCAGUUUGACAGUACGAAAAUGCAGACCAUUUUAAUUUUAAAAGAGGGUCACCUGACUCUUCCAUGUCGUUUUAACGCUAUGGAAGAGGAGGUGAUGGAUGAUAUUAAAAAUGGGGGCAUAGCGGUAGUUUCCAAGGGGCCGAAAAACAGAACCUGGCUUUUAGAGUUUUGUCCAGCAUAAAUAACAUCAGCAGCAGCAACAGCAGCAGUCACCGCAAGCAGCAGCAGCAACAACAACAUUGACGAUGCCAUCCUCUUCGUACCAGUUCAAGAGCGGCAACAGCAACAGCAUCAGCAACAACAUCAGCAACAGCAACAGCAGCAACAACAAGAGCUAACAUCUUCGCAGUCUCCCACACUACUGGUACCGUUAACAGCAUGUAUGAAAUUAACAGUGCAAAGCGAAGAUGCUAACCUAGCUGUACAUCAGCCUAAGGAAAACGUCCCACCGUCAAUUAAAUGUGAGCGUAGUCACGAUGAAUAUGAAAGUAUCGAGCCAGAGUUGGUAGCACAUUAUGAAAAUAAUAAAAAGCAAUGGAUACGAGCAUUCCAAAACAACUAUCUUAUUAAACAAUGGCGUUUACCAAUGCCACUAAAUCAUUUUAGAGGGGAAGUGUCCCGUUUAAUGAAAAAUCAAUAUAUUCAGGGUAAUAUACCAUCUAACGAUGAAGUAUCGGUGUAUUUUCUAACCGUAAUGUGGGAUGAAAUUAAUGAUGAGGUGGAGGGAGUGAUAGGAAAUGAAUCCAUAAAUUUCCAGGAUUGGUUUUUUUUUCUGUGUAGUUGUAAUGUAGAAAACUUUUCUCGCGUUACAUAUAACCCUAAAAUAUUUAACUACCUUAUUAGUAUCAUAUAUUGUGUGGUGGGAGCACACAUAAUAGACUCAAUUAACUAUACACCUCCAUCUUAUGAAAAUUAACAGUUUUUUUUGUUGUUGUUGCUAUCGCUACCUGUUGUCAUACAUACCUGUUUAUAUGCAAAUGCAGCUGCUGCUAGCGAUUUUUUAUAUCUUAUAGUUACUAUACUACCUCAUGUAUCUUUAUGUGUAAUAAUAAUAAUAUUAGAAAUAAAAGA